GACGAACGCUGGCGGCGUGCCUAACACAUGCAAGUCGAGCGAAUGAAGUUCCUUCGGGAAUGGAUUUAGCGGCGGACGGGUGAGUAACACGUGGGCAACCUGCCUCAUAGAGGGGAAUAGCCUUCCGAAAGGGAGAUUAAUACCGCAUAAGAUUGUAGUAUCGCAUGAUACAGCAAUUAAAGGAGCAGUCCGCUAUGAGAUGGGCCCGCGGCGCAUUAGCUAGUUGGUGAGGUAACGGCUCACCAAGGCGACGAUGCGUAGCCGACCUGAGAGGGUGAUCGGCCACAUUGGGACUGAGACACGGCCCAGACUCCUACGGGAGGCAGCAGUGGGGAAUAUUGCACAAUGGGGGAAACCCUGAUGCAGCAACGCCGCGUGAGUGAUGACGGCCUUCGGGUUGUAAAGCUCUGUCUUCAGGGACGAUAAUGACGGUACCUGAGGAGGAAGCCACGGCUAACUACGUG
rnacentral:rRNA from 1 species